rnacentral:rRNA from 1 species
AGUCUGGUGCCAGCAGCCGCGGUAAUUCCAGCUCCAAUAGCGUAUAUUAAAGUUGUUGCAGUUAAAAAGCUCGUAGUUGAAUUUCGGGAUUGGCGCAUCGGUCGUGCCUCACGGGGUAUGAACUGGUGCAGUCAAUUUCUCACCUUCUGGAGAACCGCGAUGUCCUUAAUUGGAUGCCGCGGGGAACCAGGACCUUUACUUUGAAAAAAUUAGAGUGUUUAAAGCAGGCAUUUUUGCUUGAAUACAUUAGCAUGGAAUAAUAAAAUAGGACGGCAUGGUUCUAUUUUGUUGGUUUCUAGGACCACCGUAAUGAUUAAUAGGGGUAGUUGGGGGCAUUAGUAUUCAAUUGUCAGAGGUGAAAUUCUUGGAUUUAUUGAAGACUAACUACUGCGAAAGCAUUUGCCAAGGAUGUUUUCAUUAAUCAAGAACGAAAGUUAGGGGAUCGAAGACGAUCAGAUACCGUCGUAGUCUUAACCAUAAACUAUGCCGACUAGGAAUCAGACGAUGUUAAUUUUUUAAUGACUCGUUUGGCACCUUACGGGAAACCAAAGUGUUUGGGUUCCGGGGGGAGUAUGGUCGCAAGGCUGAAACUUAAAGGAAUUGACGGAAGGGCACCACCAGGGGUGGAGCCUGCGGCUUAAUUUGACCCAACACGGGAAAACUUACCAGGUCCAGACAUAGUAAGGAUUGACAGAUUGAGAGCUCUUUCUUGAUUCUAUGGGUGGUGGUGCAUGGCCGUUCUUAGUUGGUGGAGUGAUUUGUCUGGUUAAUUCCGUUAACGAACGAGACCUUAACCUGCUAAAUAGUUAAACCUGACUUUUUGUCAGGUUGACAACUUCUUAGAGGGACUAUCGGUGUUUAACCGAUGGAAGUUUGAGGCAAUAACAGGUCUGUGAUGCCCUUAGAUGUUCUGGGCCGCAGGCGCGCUACACUGAUAAAGUCAACAAGUAACUAACCUUUGCCGGAAGGCAUGGGUAAUCUUUUGAAACUUUAUCGUGCUGGGGAUAGAGCAUUGCAAUUAUCGCUCUUCAACGAGGAAUCCCUAGUAAGCGUAAGUCAUCAGCUUGCGUUGAUUACGUCCCUGCCCUUUGUACACACCGCCCGUCGCUACUACCGAUUGAAUGGCUUAGUGAGGUCUUCGGAUCGGCGGUAGAUGAGUAGCAAUAUUCGCCGGUUGCUGAGAAGUUGAUCAAACUUGGUCAUUUAGAGGAAGUAAAAGUCGUAACAAGGUUUCCGUAGGUUCCUGCGGAAGGA